UGCAAGUCGAACGAUAAGUUUUUUAAUUUAUCUUAAAAAAACUGAAAAGUGGCGGACGGGUGAGUAACACGUGAGAACCUACCUUUAAAAAAGGGAAAACGAUUGGAAACGAUUGCUAAUACCUUAUAUGCCUUUAUAAAAUAAAAAUUAAGGUGAAAAGUUUAUUCUGUUUAGAGAAGGGCUCGCGGCUGAUUAGCUAGUUGGUAAGGUAAUGGCUUACCAAGGCGACGAUCAGUAACUGAUUUGAGAGGAUGAUCAGUCACACUGGAACUGAGACACGGUCCAGACUCCUACGGGAGGCAGCAGUGGGGAAUUUUCUGCAAUGGGCGAAAGCCUGACAGAGCAAUACCGCGUGAGGGAUGACAGCCCUAUGGGUUGUAAACCUCUUUUUUCAGGGAGGAAGUUCUGACGUUACCUGAAGAAUAAGCAUCGGCUAACUCCGUGCCAGCAGCCGCGGUAAGACGGAGGAUGCAAGUGUUAUCCGGAAUCACUGGGCGUAAAGCGUCUGUAGGUGUUUUAAUAAGUCUGUUGUUAAAGCUUGAGGCUUAACCUCAAAAAAGCAAUAGAAACUAUUAUGAAUUGAGUGUGGUAGGGGUAGAGGGAAUUUCCAGUGGAGCGGUGAAAUGCAUAGAUAUUGGAAAGAUCACCAAUGGCGAAGGCACUCUACUGGGCCAUUACUUACACUGAGAGACGAAAGCUAGGGGAGCAAAUGGGAUUAGAUACCCCAGUAGUCCU
rnacentral:rRNA from 1 species